GACGAACGCUGGCGGCGUGCUUAACACAUGCAAGUCGAACGGUAAGGCCCUUCGGGGUACACGAGUGGCGAACGGGUGAGUAACACGUGGGUGAUCUGCCCUGCACUUCGGGAUAAGCCUGGGAAACUGGGUCUAAUACGGGAUAGGACUCCUGGCUUCAUGGUGGGGGGUGGAAAGCUUUUGCGGUGUGGGAUGGGCCCGGGGCCUAUCGGCUUGUUGGUGGGGUAAUGGCCUACCAAGGCGACGACGGGUAGCCGGCCUGGGAGGGUGACCGGUCACACUGGGCCUGAGAUACGGCCCAGACUCCUACGGGAGGCAGCAGUGGGGAAUAUUGCACAAUGGGCGCAAGCCUGAUGCAGCGACGCCGCGUGAGGGAUGACGGCCUUCGGGUUGUAAACCUCUUUCAGCACCGACGAAGCGCAAGUGACGGUAGGUGCAGAAGAAGGACCGGCCAACUACGUGCCAGCCGCCGCGGUAA
rnacentral:rRNA from 1 species